UCUUUUAAAGUUAUGCCGUUUUUUUUAGGAUUCCUAAGGGACCCAUUUUCUUCUGCUUCUGGUGUAGUGCUUACUUCCAUGAGACCUCAUUUACCAAUUUGUCUACAUUUAUGUGAAGCAAGUAGAGAUCACUAUAAUAUGAAAACACACAACUAUCAUGGAUCCUGAGACAUGAAUAAUGAACACGUUCAAGGACUGGGCUACUGGGAAAAGCACACUGAGAUUAAGAAUUUAAGCUUGGGAGAAAAGCUGAGGCACAGAGAAGGAAAGUAACUAGCUCAAACUCACACAGCAUACUUGUGGCAAAGUCAUGUAUGCAUGGUCAGGUCUCCUGCAUCCUUGUUUCUUCUUACUAUAUUGCCACCUUUGGAAUGAAACACAGCCUUGGAAAGAGCAAGAAAGAAAUUAAAGAGGAAAAAAGGAGAUGGAGCUCCAUCAGAUCAUGUUAAAACUGCAACUGAGUACAGAGUUCUGCAAUCUGAAUUUCCUGUCCUGGUGGCUAUUUGCAUGGGAGAUAUUGGUUCUUUGUGCCAGAAGUGGGUACAUUUUCUGUUUCCCAAACUAAGAUGAGAUAUGGAUAUUCUGUUAUAGGGUGCUUUUACAUUCUUGAAAUAGUCAUUUUGUGUGUUUGUCUUUCAACAUCCC